UACGUAGGGGGCAAGCGUUGUCCGGAUUUAUUGGGCGUAAAGAGCGUGUAGGCGGUCAGGUAGGUCCGUUGUGAAAACUCGAGGCUCAACCUCGAGACGCCGAUGGAAACCAUCUGACUAGAGUCCGGAAGAGGAGAGUGGAAUUCCACGUGUAGCGGUGAAAUGCGUAGAGAUGUGGAGGAACACCAGUGGCGAAGGCGACUCUUUGGCCUGUAACUGACGCUGAGGCGCGAAAGCGUGGGGAGCAAACAGG
rnacentral:rRNA from 1 species